UAUUUUAAUGGCCGCGGUAUUUUGACCGUGCAAAGGUAGCAUAAUCAUUAGUUCAUUAAUUGUGGACUUGAAUGAAUGGUUGGACAAAAUAUUAACUGUCUCAUAUUUAUAUUUAAAAUUUAAAUUUUUAGUUAAAAUGCUUAAAUUUAUUUAAAGGACGAGAAGACCCUAUAGAUCUUAAUUAUUAUAUAUUUUAAUUAUUUUGGUUUAUUUUUAAUUAAGAUUUUUUAAUUUUUUAGUUGGGGUGACUUUAAGAUACAAUUAACUCUUUAUUAUUUAUACAAUUAUUUUUGUUUAAUUGACCUUUUAUUAAUGUUUAUAAGAUAAAGAUACCUUAGGGAUAACAGCGUAAUUCUUUUUGAGAGUUCUUAUUGACAAAGGAGAUUGCGACCUCGAUGUUGGAUUAAGAAUAAAUUUAGGUGUAGAAGCUUAAAAGAUUAAGUCUGUUCGACUUUUAAAUUCUUACAUGAUCUGAGUU
rnacentral:rRNA from 1 species